ACAUAGGGCUGCGGUGGAGGGGCGGGGCUUAGCAGGAGCUGGCAGGGAAACGGCCUGCCAGUAUCGCGAGAGUAGGACCUGUGGCUUAGAGAGUGGUGGAGGCUACUUGGGCUCUAUGCCCUCAAGGUAUUUCCCACGUGGGCCAAGGCUCCAUGGAAUCACCCAGGCUAGAGCCUUCCAGGUUCUAAACUGUACCUAAGAGAUGGGGACAACCUUUCUUCUCAGAUGACAUUCUCUGUCAACAAAGAGGAACAUCCUGGAGGAAGAGUUCUCAGGGAUUUUGCUAACAUCAGGGUCAAAAAGAGAAGGAAGUUUUGUUGAACUUCACCUUUGAGAGGAAAGCUAGAAGACGGAGGCGCAAGAUUGUUUCAGUUACUCUGAAAUGAACUGCAGAUGGGAGAAAUAUAAAAUAUUGCCACAGCUCUGGGACUGGUAACACCAAGUUCGCUAUUUUGGCUUCUCAGAGGUAGUUAGCAGUCAAACAAUUUGUGUGUUUCGGUCAUCAAAUACAAUCAUGGGUAGGGACAGCAACCAGCCUUGGAACAACAUGAUUCCAAGGGAUUGAGUGAAUGGCAGGGUUGUAGGUUGUCAUGUACAAUGGUCAAGAAAGAAUUCAUGAGACAUUGUACGCUGCAACGUCGUAGGUUUAAGUAGCCCAGGGCAGAAAGAGUUGCACUUUUGCUGUAUAUCUGCUUAGUGCUUAAGGGGGAGGGGAUGUGCAGGGAGUAUUAGAUCAUAUCUGUCUUCUAAUUUCUACUGGUAAAAACUACUUUCAUAAAGUUUCUCUAGUGCUUAUUAUUCAGCUUGAUAUUAACUAUUGUUGAGAUAUACAGGAAGUCAUGAGACCCUCUAAGAACAUAGCAAUGAGGGGCACCUGGGUGACUCAGUAGGUGAAACGUCCAACUCUUGGUUUCAGCUCAGGUCACGAUCUCACAGCUUCAUGGGUUUGAGCCCCACAUCGGGCUCUGUGCUGACUGUUUGGAGCCUGCUUGGGAUUCUCUCUUUCUCUCUCUCUCUGCCCCUACCCCACUUGCACUAUCUCUGUGUCUCUCAAAAUAAAUAAAUAAACUUAAAAAAAAAAAA